AUAUGAUGACCGCAUCAACCUGGGAGCCCGCAGGUCGGACAGGAAGUUAAAUACUGCAGGUUUGAUGACCUCUGACAGGAAGUUGGGUUAAAGACUGCAUCCCAACAUUGCAAACAAUGUUUGCAAUGCAAACACAGUGAGUUUGAUGGGCCUACUUACCGAUGUCAGAAGGAAAAUUUUAGAAGAAACUCACACAACACUCCUGCACCUGGUCAAACAAGAUAUUUAAUGUGGUGUAGGUGAAGGUACCUGGUAGUCUGUUUUGUGUGCGUGUUUGUGAGAGAGUGAUUUCAUGACAUCAUCCAAGCCAUUCCUGAAUUUUGUAAUACUCAAUAUUCUCCAGCUUUGUACGACGCUACGCAAGCGUUAUUGUUCAGUACUCCACUGAGUUCGAAGCUGUCCACUAGUAGGCACUGUUCAGUACUCCACUAUGUUCUUUGUCUCAAUGUUUAUUGCUGUCCACUAGUAGGCGCUGUUCAGUACGCCACCAUUUCUUUACGUCUAAAUGUUUAAAGGGCCCCUCUUCCCUGAUUGGUUAAAUAACAAAUGAAAAUGAAAUCCAUCGGUCAGUCCCACGUGUGAACAAUGUGAAGGGCAGGGAAAUGAGGUGGGGGCCACCACUACUACGAUUUAUUAAAUCUCGCUUUCUGCUCCCAUUUCCUCGAUUCUCCUUCACAAUUCUCAAAUCUUAACAAGAGCAGCAGAGAACAAACAACACACAUCAUGAAUCCACUCUCUAAUCCUUACUGGAGUUCAGAGGUAACACGAGGGAUGCCCCUGCAAGACAGACUGCGUGAAACCACGCGGUGAGAAGCAUCACAUCUGGGCUGUCGGUAGUCCGUCUUCACAACGUUGUAGUUUCACGACUUCUACUCCACAUCUUCCCUUGACCUCUUGACGUUUUCCAUCAAGUUCAAGGAAAAGUGGUAAGGAAAGGAGACAGGAAGUCACUUUUUGACUAUUGGAAUGGAGCCGUGGUUCCCUCGUGGAGAACUACCUCAGAGAGAGGCAGAGCAGACAGACGGACGGACAGACGGACGGACAGACACCUCCGGACACAUCGCCUCUCGGUGAUGGAGCGGAGACAGACGGCUCCAAGCCGUCUGUGUGGAAACCUUUUAAGACAUCAAAGGAGCUCCCUAAAGUGCCCAACCUGUGCAGGCAGGAUUGGUCCCCAGACUUCAAACGCUUUACUUUGUUUUACCUCUAUCCGUACCACAGGGCAUGCUGGGUAAUAUCAGAUCAAGCAAGCAAGGAGUCCUCUGCCUUGAAGCCGCAGAGCAAGGCACUUUGUUCACCUCGCUGAGGUGUGUGUGUGUGUGUGUGUGUGUGUGUGUGUGUGUGUGUGUGUGUGUGUGUGUGUGUGUGUGUGUGUGUGUGUGUGUGUGUGUGUGUGUGUGUGUGUGUGUGUGUGUGUGUGUGUGUGUGUGUGUGUGUGUGU